rnacentral:lncRNA from 1 species
CAAGUUUGUUAUAGAUAGUAAGCAGAUAAAGAAGAAAUGAACACAUAUAACUAUAAUAAUGUUUAGAAAAAAACAAGAAGAAAUGAACAAAAAUAUGACUAUAGAGACCUAUAACUAUAAUAACGUUUAGAAAGCUAAACAACAAGGAUUAGAACAUAGAUUUUUACAAUUGCAAAAACAACAACAAAGUUGUACCUUGGGGCAUCUGAAACAAGAUGACCAUCUGAUCUUGCAGUUGCAGCUGCAACAGGAGCUCUUCUUCUUCUUAUUCAGACAGGUGGGUAGGCAGCAAGAUAAGUCCGGACAAGAACAACAGCAACCUCGGAAGCAUGAACAGCUCGGGCAGCUCAGUUUCGGGCAACAACAGCUAUUUGAGCAGCAUGAUCCUUCACAGCAUUUGGAACCAGUGCAGCUGCAACUUGUACAGCACUUGGGCUUCCUCAGAUGGCACGAACAGUUGGAUCGGCAGCAACAGAAGAAACUCGCUAGGCUCAAACAUGGAAUACCGCAACUGCAACGAGUUAGUUGAUUAGUAUCAUAUCUUGUUAUUAAGAUAUAUAUUUUUCCGUCAAUCCAUUUAAGAUCAAGCAGUUAUCUCACGAGAGGCUCGCUUAAUAGAAAACAUCACUUACAAAAAGCAAAAAAAAAAAACAUAUCCACAAGUUUGUUAUAGAUAGUAAGCAGAUAAAGAAGAAAUGAACACAUAUAACUAUAAUAAUGUUUAGAAAAAAACAAGAAGAAAUGAACAAAAAUAUGACUAUAGAGACCUAUAACUAUAAUAACGUUUAGAAAGCUAAACAACAAGGAUUAGAACAUAGAUUUUUACAAUUGCAAAAACAACAACAAAGUUGUACCUUGGGGCAUCUGAAACAAGAUGACCAUCUGAUCUUGCAGUUGCAGCUGCAACAGGAGCUCUUCUUCUUCUUAUUCAGACAGGUGGGUAGGCAGCAAGAUAAGUCCGGACAAGAACAACAGCAACCUCGGAAGCAUGAACAGCUCGGGCAGCUCAGUUUCGGGCAACAACAGCUAUUUGAGCAGCAUGAUCCUUCACAGCAUUUGGA